CCACCUGACCCCAUGCCGAACUCAGAAGUGAAACGCCGUAGCGCCGAUGGUAGUGUGGGGUCUCCCCAUGCGAGAGUUGGGAACUGCCAGGC
rnacentral:rRNA from 1 species